GGUUAAGCGACUAAGCGUACACGGUGGAUGCCCUGGCAGUCAGAGGCGAUGAAGGACGUGCUAAUCUGCGAUAAGCGUCGGUAAGGUGAUAUGAACCGUUAUAACCGGCGAUUUCCGAAUGGGGAAACCCAGUGUGUUUCGACACACUAUCAUUAACUGAAUCCAUAGGUUAAUGAGGCGAACCGGGGGAACUGAAACAUCUAAGUACCCCGAGGAAAAGAAAUCAACCGAGAUUCCCCCAGUAGCGGCGAGCGAACGGGGAGCAGCCCAGAGCCUGAAUCAGUGUGUGUGUUAGUGGAAGCGUCUGGAAAGGCGCGCGAUACAGGGUGACAGCCCCGUACACAAAAAUGCACAUACUGUGAGCUCGAUGAGUAGGGCGGGACACGUGGUAUCCUGUCUGAAUAUGGGGGGACCAUCCUCCAAGGCUAAAUACUCCUGACUGACCGAUAGUGAACCAGUACCGUGAGGGAAAGGCGAAAAGAACCCCGGCGAGGGGAGUGAAAAAGAACCUGAAACCGUGUACGUACAAGCAGUGGGAGCACGCUUAGGCGUGUGACUGCGUACCUUUUGUAUAAUGGGUCAGCGACUUAUAUUCUGUAGCAAGGUUAACCGAAUAGGGGAGCCGAAGGGAAACCGAGUCUUAACUGGGCGUUAAGUUGCAGGGUAUAGACCCGAAACCCGGUGAUCUAGCCAUGGGCAGGUUGAAGGUUGGGUAACACUAACUGGAGGACCGAACCGACUAAUGUUGAAAAAUUAGCGGAUGACUUGUGGCUGGGGGUGAAAGGCCAAUCAAACCGGGAGAUAGCUGGUUCUCCCCGAAAGCUAUUUAGGUAGCGCCUCGUGAAUUCAUCUCCGGGGGUAGAGCACUGUUUCGGCAAGGGGGUCAUCCCGACUUACCAACCCGAUGCAAACUACGAAUACCGGAGAAUGUUAUCACGGGAGACACACGGCGGGUGCUAACGUCCGUCGUGAAGAGGGAAACAACCCAGACCGCCAGCUAAGGUCCCAAAGUCAUGGUUAAGUGGGAAACGAUGUGGGAAGGCCCAGACAGCCAGGAUGUUGGCUUAGAAGCAGCCAUCAUUUAAAGAAAGCGUAAUAGCUCACUGGUCGAGUCGGCCUGCGCGGAAGAUGUAACGGGGCUAAACCAUGCACCGAAGCUGCGGCAGCGACGCUGAUGCGUUGUUGGGUAGGGGAGCGUUCUGUAAGCCUGCGAAGGUGUGCUGUGAGGCAUGCUGGAGGUAUCAGAAGUGCGAAUGCUGACAUAAGUAACGAUAAAGCGGGUGAAAAGCCCGCUCGCCGGAAGACCAAGGGUUCCUGUCCAACGUUAAUCGGGGCAGGGUGAGUCGACCCCUAAGGCGAGGCCGAAAGGCGUAGUCGAUGGGAAACAGGUUAAUAUUCCUGUACUUGGUGUUACUGCGAAGGGGGGACGGAGAAGGCUAUGUUGGCCGGGCGACGGUUGUCCCGGUUUAAGCGUGUAGGCUGGUUUUCCAGGCAAAUCCGGAAAAUCAAGGCUGAGGCGUGAUGACGAGGCACUACGGUGCUGAAGCAACAAAUGCCCUGCUUCCAGGAAAAGCCUCUAAGCAUCAGGUAACAUCAAAUCGUACCCCAAACCGACACAGGUGGUCAGGUAGAGAAUACCAAGGCGCUUGAGAGAACUCGGGUGAAGGAACUAGGCAAAAUGGUGCCGUAACUUCGGGAGAAGGCACGCUGAUAUGUAGGUGAAGUCCCUCGCGGAUGGAGCUGAAAUCAGUCGAAGAUACCAGCUGGCUGCAACUGUUUAUUAAAAACACAGCACUGUGCAAACACGAAAGUGGACGUAUACGGUGUGACGCCUGCCCGGUGCCGGAAGGUUAAUUGAUGGGGUCAGCGCAAGCGAAGCUCUUGAUCGAAGCCCCGGUAAACGGCGGCCGUAACUAUAACGGUCCUAAGGUAGCGAAAUUCCUUGUCGGGUAAGUUCCGACCUGCACGAAUGGCGUAAUGAUGGCCAGGCUGUCUCCACCCGAGACUCAGUGAAAUUGAACUCGCUGUGAAGAUGCAGUGUACCCGCGGCAAGACGGAAAGACCCCGUGAACCUUUACUAUAGCUUGACACUGAACAUUGAGCCUUGAUGUGUAGGAUAGGUGGGAGGCUUUGAAGUGUGGACGCCAGUCUGCAUGGAGCCGACCUUGAAAUACCACCCUUUAAUGUUUGAUGUUCUAACGUUGACCCGUGAUCCGGGUUGCGGACAGUGUCUGGUGGGUAGUUUGACUGGGGCGGUCUCCUCCUAAAGAGUAACGGAGGAGCACGAAGGUUGGCUAAUCCUGGUCGGACAUCAGGAGGUUAGUGCAAUGGCAUAAGCCAGCUUGACUGCGAGCGUGACGGCGCGAGCAGGUGCGAAAGCAGGUCAUAGUGAUCCGGUGGUUCUGAAUGGAAGGGCCAUCGCUCAACGGAUAAAAGGUACUCCGGGGAUAACAGGCUGAUACCGCCCAAGAGUUCAUAUCGACGGCGGUGUUUGGCACCUCGAUGUCGGCUCAUCACAUCCUGGGGCUGAAGUAGGUCCCAAGGGUAUGGCUGUUCGCCAUUUAAAGUGGUACGCGAGCUGGGUUUAGAACGUCGUGAGACAGUUCGGUCCCUAUCUGCCGUGGGCGCUGGAGAACUGAGGGGGGCUGCUCCUAGUACGAGAGGACCGGAGUGGACGCAUCACUGGUGUUCGGGUUGUCAUGCCAAUGGCACUGCCCGGUAGCUAAAUGCGGAAGAGAUAAGUGCUGAAAGCAUCUAAGCACGAAACUUGCCCCGAGAUGAGUUCUCCCUGACCCUUUAAGGGUCCUGAAGGAACGUUGAAGACGACGACGUUGAUAGGCCGGGUGUGUAAGCGCAGCGAUGCGUUGAGCUAACCGGUACUAAUGAACCGUGAGGCUUAACCUU
rnacentral:rRNA from 1 species